rnacentral:rRNA from 1 species
AGACGGAGGGUGCAAGCGUUGUCCGGAAUCACUGGGCGUAAAGAGCACGUAGGCGGCCGUUUAAGUCAUUUGUGAAAGCCCGGGGCUCAACCCCGGAACUGCAAGCGAAACUGGAUGGCUAGAGCACGGUUGAGGCGAGUGGAAUUCCCGGUGUAGCGGUGGAAUGCGUAGAUAUCGGGAAGAACACCAGUGGCGAAGGCGACUCGCUGGGCCGAUGCUGACGCUGAGGCGCGAAAGCGUGGGGAGCAAACAGGAUUAGAUACCCCAGUAGUCC